rnacentral:rRNA from 1 species
GACGAACGCUGGCGGCGUGCCUAAUACAUGCAAGUAGAACGCUGAAGAGAGGAGCUUGCUCUUCUUGGAUGAGUUGCGAACGGGUGAGUAACGCGUAGGUAACCUGCCUUGUAGCGGGGGAUAACUAUUGGAAACGAUAGCUAAUACCGCAUAACAAUGGAUGACACAUGUCAUUUAUUUGAAAGGGGCAAUUGCUCCACUACAAGAUGGACCUGCGUUGUAUUAGCUAGUAGGUGAGGUAACGGCUCACCUAGGCGACGAUACAUAGCCGACCUGAGAGGGUGGUCGGCCACACUGGGACUGGGACACCGCCCAGAAUUCCACGGGAGGCAGCAGUAGGGAAACUUCGGCAAUGGGGGCAACCCUGACCGAGCAACGCCGCGUGAGUGAAGAAGGUUUUCGGAUCGUAAAGCUCUGUUGUAAGUCAAGAACGAGUGUGAGAGUGGAAAGUUCACACUGUGACGGUAGCUUACCAGAAAGGGACGGCUAACUACGUG